rnacentral:rRNA from 1 species
UGGUAACCAUAGCAUUUUGGAACCACCUGAUCCCAUGCCGAACUCAGUAGUGAAACGAAAUACGGCCGAUGAUAGUGUGUGGGGCGGACGGCGAGUCUUUCCCAUGUGAAAGUAGGACAUUGCCAAGCG